UACGGAAGGCAGCAGUGGGGAAUAUUGCACAAUGGGCGCAAGCCUGAUGCAGCCAUGCCGCGUGUAUGAAGAAGGCCUUCGGGUUGUAAAGUACUUUCAGCGGGGAGGAAGGCGGUGAAGUUAAUAGCUUCACCGAUUGACGUUACCCGCAGAAGAAGCACCGGCUAACUCCGUGCCAGCAGCCGCGGUAAUACGGAGGGUGCAAGCGUUAAUCGGAAUUACUGGGCGUAAAGCGCACGCAGGCGGUCUGUCAAGUCGGAUGUGAAAUCCCCCGGGCUUAACCUGGGAACUGCAUUCGAAACUGGCAGGCUAGAGUCUUGUAGAGGGGGUAGAAUUCCAGGUGUAGCGGUGAAAUGCGUAGAGAUCUGGAGGAAUACCGGUGGCGAAGGCGGCCCCUGGGACAAAGCUGACGCUCAGGGUGCGAAAGCGUGGGGAGCAAACAGGGAUUUAGGAUAC
rnacentral:rRNA from 1 species